rnacentral:rRNA from 1 species
GACGGAAGGUGCAAGCGUUGCUCGGAAUCACUGGGCGUAAAGGGUGCGUAGGCGGCCUGGUAAGUCUGGCGUGAAAGCCCAGGGCUCAGCCCUGGAAGGGCGCUAGAAACUGCGAGGCUCGAGUGCCGGAGGGGAGAGUGGAAUUCCUGGUGUAGCGGUGAAAUGCGUAGAUAUCAGGAGGAACACCGGUGGCGAAGGCGGCAUCCUGGACCAACACUGACACUGAGGAGCGAAAGCCAGGGGAGCAAACGGG